GACGAACGCUGGCGGCGUGCUUAACACAUGCAAGUCGUACGGUAAGGCCCUUUCGGUGGUACACGAGUGGCGAACGGGUGAGUAACACUUGCGUAACCUUCCCACAACUUUUGGAUAACGCUAGGUACCUGAUGCUAAUCCUGAUUAUGUGCUCCUUCUGCAUGGUGGGGGUUGAAAAGCUCCGGCGGAUGUUGAUGGACUCGCUAGCUAUCUGCUUGGUGGUGGGGUAGUGGCCUACCAAGGCGGCUACGGGUAGCCGGCCUGCGAGGGUGACCGGCCAUAGAGGGACUGAGAUAAGGCACAGAGUACUACGGGAGGCAGCAGUGGGGAAGAUUGAACAAUGGGCGCAAGACUGAUGCAGAAACGCCGCGGGAGGGAUGACGGACUUCGGGUUGUAAAACGCGUUCAGCAGGGACGAAGCUUUUUGUGACGGUACCUGCAGAAGAAGCAACGGCUAACUACGUG
rnacentral:rRNA from 1 species